UAGUUGCUGCAUAAAAUCUUGCCCUGAACUGAAUUAACAUCAGAUGAGGCCUGUUGCACUUUGCUGUUGAGGAUUAGAUGACUUACAACCCUAUUGUUACUAGAGUCCACCUCUCAUCUUUCAAGGGCAGAGCAGGAGCACAGAGCAAGAGAUUCAAGAAAGAAUGAGUGAAGAAUAAAGAAAAUAACAUCACCAGAGUAGCUGUCAUGAACUUAAGCAAGUGAUACUAAAGACGACUGACACCGUAUGGCAAUAGCUAUGCAUGUCCUUGCUCCUAGAAAACAGAGCCUUGGAUCCUGGUCCCUAUUCAGCCACCAGCUUGCCCAGUGACUAUGGAAACUAUGUCAAACCACCUGAGAUUUUAAGCCUGUGAAAAGAAGUGUUGGCUAUUCUGAAGACCCUAGUGAAACCACCGAUUCAAGCAAGGUUUCUCAAUGUACAAUAAUUCCUUUGGUCAGAUGUCGAGGAAUAGGCCGUUUGUGUGCUUCCAAUCCAUCACCCCCACAGAAGGCUCACAACAUACAGACAGAAAUCGACCUUUCCUCCUGAGAGACCCAAGGACACGCCCUUCACCAGGAAGUCAAAUUGAGUGUCAUUAACCAGGACACAACUGAUGGGUCUCUUGAUGCAAUACAAUGCAAAAUGCACAGCAUCAUCUGUGAGGUUUCUCCUUUUCUUCCCCAGUAGCCUUAUUGUGAUAUAGUUCACAAGUUACCCAUGUAAACCAUAUAAUUUCAUUUUUUUGUACUCACAGAGUUGUGUAAUCAAAAUCAGUCUAAUUUGGGACAUCUUCAUCACCCCACACCCAUUUGCAGUCACUCACUUGUCCUCUUCCUGCCUUCAGACUUAGGCAACCAAUAGUCCACUGUCUUUGCCUAUCGAUUUGCUUAUUGCUGACAUUUCAUAUAAAUGGAAUCAGACAACAUGUGGUCCUUUGUGGCGAGCUUCUUUCAUCUAUUAUAUUUCCAAAGUUCAUCCAUGUAUCAGCACUUCAUUCCCUUUUAAUAGUAUUCUGCUUAUGAGAUUAAAUAAAACUGUAAUUAUCCAUCAGUUAAUAGA